AUGGUACUAGUUACACUGGCGAUGCAGCUAGAACCAAAAAGGAAGCAGAGUAGUCAGCAACACAUGUUGCUAUUCUAACAAUUAUGGGUGAUCCUAGCUCAGGAACUAAGAUCAUUGAGAUGAUUAAGUCAAAGUCUCCAUUUUAUGAUGCACUCAAAGGAAAGAGCCUACCUCUGUUACAGGCCAAUGCAGAGUUACCCACAACAAAUGCAGGAUAAUUGGUUGUUACAUUGGAUCAUAAAAAUACAGGAGUUAUAGACUGUGUGUCUGAUAACAAUGAAGCUAAAGUUGAAUUUCCCGAGUCUUCCAAGAUGCUUUCCACCUCUAAAGAAUUUCAAAUGCCAAAACAAGAUAUCCCCCCCGAAGCCAUCAAUGUAUCUCUGCAACCUGGUUUAGCAAAUUCUAUUGAUGAUGGUUCUAGUUCAAAAAAGAGGAGAGAGAACAAGAAGGCUAAUAAGAAGGCACGGCUAGAAUCUCUCUUACUGGCUACUGCAGUUCCCAUGAACCAAGUCCCUCCUUGUUUGAUGGUUCAAUAAGUUGUGUUUGUAUUAUGUAGUGAGGAACUAUGUAUACAAUUCAUGUUUUAGUGGAUUUAUAAUGAGAUGUGAUUAAAGAUAGAUAGAUAUGUACAUAUAUUUUCUUAUUUGGGAGGCAUAUAUAUAUAUAUAUACAUAUAUAUAUUUGUGUGGAUGAGUCUUGUGAUU